rnacentral:rRNA from 1 species
AAACGACUCUCGGCAACGGAUAUCCCGGCUCUCGCAUCGAUGAAGAACGUAGCGAAAUGCGAUACUUGGUGUGAAUUGCAGAUUCCCGUGAACCAUCGAGUCUUUGAACGCAAGUUGCGCCCGAAGUCACUAGGCUGAGGGCACGCCUGCCUGGGUGUCACGU